rnacentral:lncRNA from 1 species
AUUUUUUGAUGUUUAUAAUAAUAAUAUAAUAUAUGUAUAAGCCGAUUUAAUGGCCAAAUUAUUAACAAUAUAAUAAUCUAUCUAUAUAUAAUAAUAAUCGAUUAUGAUAUAAGUGUUUUGAAAAUACAUAUUAGGGGGGGGGGAAACGUGGAGAUCGUACCGGGAAGCUAAGGUAUAAUAUAUAAUAAUAAGCUAUAAUUCGCUAAAAAACUAUUGCGACGAUUUCGAUUCGAACCACGAACUCAAUAAUAUAGGAUCCGCGCGUUAUUGUCAACAAGACGUUAGAACGUGCUUUAAACAUUCGGUUAAAGUUAAACGACUAUUGGGUUUAUGCAUCGCUUGGCCCGUUUUGUCCCGUACCCGAGAUGAAACGGGACCGUUGUCGUCCAGCGAAUACUAUAAUAUUCAAUUCGCAUAAAUAGUAAUGUAGGUACAAUCAUUCACGCGUACCUUAAACGAAUAGUACUGUACAACAAAAAAAAAAAAAAGCAAACAGAAUGGUUGAAAAGUUAAAAUAUCUAUUGUGUAAGUAUUGUGAUCAAUAAAACGUCAUUUUAUACGCUUUUCGUGCACACACUUAAUACGGCAUACAAAUAGAUUAAACGUACCCCGAUUUCGGGUUUACCAUAUUACACCACGACGAGUACGUUUUCUUAUAGUAUAGCCGUUUUUUAAUAAACUGCACAAAUAGUUCUUUUUUCUAAUAAUAUCUCCUUGUUAUUAAAAAAAUUUUAAUUUAUUUAACAUCGCGCAAGUUCAAAGAUAAAAAAAACAUAACAGCAGUUUAUCACGUAUCCAAAACAACUAUACGUAAAUAACACGAGGCGUUUAUUGUGGCGAUUUUAAUUGAUUACCGAUGAGACGUAAUAAUAAUUGAUAUGAUUGUGACGUUUUUUAUCGCGUGAUAUCUCUAAACCAAGGAUCCUAUAUUAUUAUAAUGUCUAGUUUUCAAACGAUUAGCGUGGCACCAUAAGUACGAGAAGUAAAUAUUAACAUGUGCCCGUUUCGUCCCCACGUUCCCCUUGCAUAAUAUUAUAAUAUUUUAAUCAAACUAUAUAAUAUACCAAUUAACUUUACCCAAAUUAUAACUAUGAUACUCUAAUAUUAUGUACCGCGUUGAAAAAAAACCUCCUCAGAAUCGUUCUAUCGUUUUAAACGUGCCAAAUACUUGUUAUAUACGCUAUAUUAUACAGCGCAUUACGAUUUAAUACUAUAAUACUGUAAAAUACACGUUUAAUUCGUUAAUUAUUCGUACCCCUAACUUCUAAUAAAACCUCUCGAAACAGUAUACGUAUUUAUUUGCCGACGGUGGUUUUAUCAAAAUAUAUUUGAAAAACGGGGCGUAAUACGCUGUACCUAGAGAGAGAGAAAGAGAGAAACGAAAAUUAAUUAAUAUGAGGAGGAGUCGCCACUUAUGGCCGAAUUAUCCCUGCUAUAGUCACUAAUUUUUAUUUUGUUCGUUUACAUUUAUGUUUAUUUACUUGACUAUAUUAUCAACUAUUAAUAAUACGGAUAGCGUAGAAUGGUCACGGAACGAUAAAAAAAAAAAAACGCGAUUCUAAAACAUUAACAUCACUAAUUUUUCGUUCCGCGAUGUUCUUGGGACUGUGAAAUUCAGACCAAGUAUCGGUGUUUAUGAUGACGGUUUAUAGUUUUGAAUUUUUUUUUCAACGACCCCAUAGAUGGAUGACUCGAAUCAAUUAGUAUAAUUAGAAAAAAAAAAAAAAUUCUUAAAACGGCUACGGGCGGCGACUCCAACCUCCUUGCCUAAAUAUUAUACAAUAUACCUAUAUAUAAUAUUAUUAUGUUAUUCCGGCACUUAAUAAUAUGACACGCGCGGUGUGUAAUAUAGAAUAUAGCAGUAUUAAAGUUUAUCGUAGAGCAUAUAAUAAACAUUUAAGUUUUAUCAGAUUAACACUGUUGUUUUAACAAUAUAACAUUAUUAUUGCCAUCGUGCAUCAUAUUACAAAAUAAUAAUAUAUUAUUCCAGUACUCAUAUAUAAUAUUAUACAGUCAUAAUAUUACUAUGACGUUACUGUGAAUCUAUAAUAUAAGAACGCCUAUAUUGUUAUACCAUAAUACUAUUAUAAUACCUACCUAAUUAAUACACUAUAUAAUAAUUUAAACGUUUUCUUCCCGCGCAAUUAUAAUAAUAUUAUAAUCUUACAUUGCCAUAUUGUUAUAAUAU